UACGGAGGAUGCGAGCGUUAUCCGGGUUUAUUGGGUUUAAAGGGUGCGCAGGCGGUCUGUUAAGUCAGCGGUCAAAGCCCGGGGCUCAACCCCGGCCCGCCGUUGAAACUGGCAGUCUCGAGUUGGAGAGAAGUAUGCGGAAUGCGCGGUGUAGCGGUGAAAUGCAUAGAUAUCGCGCAGAACUCCGAUUGCGAAGGCAGCAUGCCGGCCCCACACUGACGCUGAGGCACGAAAGCGUGGGUAUCGAACAGG
rnacentral:rRNA from 1 species